AAAAAUUAACCCAACAACCACGUUUUCCUUUUAGUUCCUCUCCUUGAAAAUAUCAUUUUUCUCUGCAACUCCUCUUCUCUCUCUCUCCCUCUUUUCGUUCAUCAUCCUCCCAAAAACCUAAAAUUGAUUCUUCAAGAAGAAGAAGAAGAUUGCGCUUCCAAGGACAGACCAAGCGAUUCGCAGAAGCUUCCAAUUUUCUGGAGCCGAAUCAAUGGUUGGAGGGCGAUUCCGUAUUUCUGGGUAACCCUUUCAAUAAUUCUCUCUUUCCUUUGUCCGUUUUAACACACAAGAAUCCAUAUCGUCAAUAUCUUCAGUGUUAAUGGACCGCUUUAAUAAUACCCACAACCUUGAACCCAAUCCUUAUGAGAGUGUUUCAGAAGUCCUUGUCUUUGGACACCCACAAAGUUCUGAUCCCCCUAGUAACGGUGGUGAAGGUGAAAAAGACAACAACCGUAAAUCAAGAAGGAAAUGGACACCCACUGACGAUAUUGUCCUCAUCGAUGCGUGGCUAAAAACGAGCAAAGACCCAAAAUAUGUAGCCUUUUGGAAACGGGUUGCAUCUUAUUUCGCAUCAAGUCCGAAACUUGCUGCUGGUCAGGAAAAGAGAGAGGCCAUUCAUUGUAAGCAGAGGUGGACGAAGAUCAAUAAUGCAGUUUGCAAGUUUGUUGGAUGCUACGAGGCUGCAACAGCUCAGUUGUCAUCAAGUGGACAGAGUGAACAGAGUGAGAAUGAUGUUAUCUCGCUUGCGUACCAAAUUUACUUCGAUGAACACAAGGCGAAGUUCACCUUGGAGCAUGCUUGGAGAGAGCUUCGACAUGAUCCUAAAUGGUGUGCUGAUGCAUCUGUUAAAAAAAAAAAGAGAAAAUUUGAGGAGGGUUCUGCACAAUCUUCAAGCUCCCACCCAGAACUAAGCCAUGAUGGAGAGGAUGAUGAUGAAGCAAUGCCUCCUCCUCCUCCUGCUGUUAAGGCUUCAAAGGCCUUACGUAGAAGGAAUGUGACUGUGAACAAUAAUACCUCCACUGUGGAAGUGGAAGACAAGUCUUUGGUGGAGUUUCAGAGGAAAGAGAAGCUUAGUAAGCAUAAAUUGCUUGACACUCUCCUUUCAAAAACAGAGCCACUUAGUGAAAUGGAAAUGGCUUUAAAGAACAAGCUAAUUAAUGACAUGUUGUUAAGCUAAAUUAGUUUUAGAGUUUCUGUUUUAUGAGUUUUUAUGUGUACUUUGGAACGAUCAAGAGAUGUUUAUUGUUGUUUUGUGUUGCAAUCAGUUUCUGGUCUUUGGAAAGAAUCAGUUGUAUGAGUUAUAUGUUCUUUAUCAAUAGACUUUUAGAGUUUCUGUUCUUUGACACGAUCAAGAGAUGUUUAUUGUUUGUCUCACAUCAGAUCUCGAUGUGUUUUUGUCUCAGUCUCCCAGAUGUUGAUGUGUUUUUGGACUUCUAGAGGUCUGUUAUAUGUUUCUCCUUUCCCCAAUUACGUUUUCAGAUCUAUUUCAUCAUCUAUAUACUCGUUUCUGAAUGUAAUUUCACUUCUUUGGAAUGACAUUUUUAUGUUGUGAGUUCAAUAGUUUUUAUGGUUUACUUGGAGUCGUUGUUAAUGAUAAAUUUCAGAUCUUUGAUUGGAUGGAGAAGAGGAAGGUGACAUUAUCUGUCUCUCUGAUCAUGCAAAUUCGUUUGGAUCUAAUUGCUUAGAAGCAGCUGAGAACUACUUAACAACUUAGAUACUUCUGCAAAAGAUUCAUCAGUCGACUUAUGGGGCUCUUAUGAACUGUUACUGUGUGGAACUUUAUCUUCAGGAAAGGUUAUACACUUCUGAUGAACACAUGGAAGACAGAUGAUGAUAUCAUAUUUCCUUGUCACACGGUAGAAUGAUAAAGCCAAAGCAAUGUUAUCUUCUCUGUUCUAUGUGAAUGAAUCAGUUAAUGAGUCACAUUUGUUCUCUGUUUCUGUUCAAUGAUUAAGCCAAAGCCAUGUUAUCUUCUC